UGUGAUUCCCUUAGUAACUGCGAGUGAAGCGGGAAAAGCCCAUCGUUUAAUCUUCCCGGACCAUGGACGGGACGAAAUGUAACGGUAUGGAUAGGUUCUCUACUAACAACGUCCGAUCAAAGUCCUCCGGAUUGAGGUGCCAAAGAGGGUGACAGCCCCGUGUGUGAUUGGACAGAGUUGGGUGUGUGACCAAUUCCGAGAGUCGGGUUGUUUGGGACUGCAACCUAAAGCAGGUGGUAAACUCCACCCAAGGCUAAAUAUUGACACGAAACCGAUAGCGAACAAGUACUGUGAAGGAAAGUUGAAAAGAACUCUGAAAAGAGAGUUAAAAGUACGUGAAACCGCUAACGGGGAAGCGGAAGGCAGUGUCGAGAUUGAGUAAGUGAGUCGGUCCAAGUGUGUGGCGCAGUAACUAACAUUAUUGUGCAUUGCUCAUUGGGGUCGGCUAGCUUUGCUCGAUGCGUCAGGACUAUUGGUGCGCGAUGGCUCAAUCCAAUCAUCAGUUUUUUCGGCUACCACGGAAUAGUCAAAUGUUUCGUAGUUGCGGCUGGUGAUCCGUCUCGUGUGCUGAUAUGUGUGUGUGAUGGAGCGUUGAUGAUGUAUUGUCGGUUGGUGCUGUGUGGUGCUUUCCGCUGGUCACAUUGUGGCUACGUGGGGAGAAGUCGUGUGGUAGUUCAACAAUCAAUGCUAGCUCCUGACGUGAUACCCAACUUUC
rnacentral:rRNA from 1 species